UUGGAGGGCAAGUCUGGUGCCAGCAGCCGCGGUAAUUCCAGCUCCAAUAGCGUAUAUUAAAGUUGUUGCAGUUAAAAAGCUCGUAGUUGAAUUUCGGGAUCAAUUUAUUGGUCGUGCUAUUGUACGUACUGGUAUUAUUGAUUCCUACCUUCUGACGAACCAUGAUGUCAUUAAUUUGGUGUCAUGGGGAAUCAGGACUGUUACUUUGAAAAAAUUAGAGUGUUUAAAGCAGGCUCACGCUUGAAUACAUUAGCAUGGAAUAACGAAAUAGGACGUUUGAUUCUAUUUUGUUGGUUUCUAGGAUCGACGUAAUGAUUAAUAGGGAUAGUUGGGGGCAUUAGUAUUCAAUUGUCAGAGGUGAAAUUCUUGGAUUUAUUGAAGACUAACUACUGCGAAAGCAUUCGCCAAGGAUGUUUUCAUUAAUCAAGAACGAAAGUUAGGGGAUCGAAGACGAUCGGAUACCGUCGUAGUCUUAACCAUAAACUAUGCCGACUAGGGAUCGGAUGAUGUUAAUUUUUUAAUGACUCAUUCGGCGCCUUACGGGAAAC
rnacentral:rRNA from 1 species